ensembl:misc_RNA Metazoa_SRP Metazoan signal recognition particle RNA
GCUGAGCGUGGUGGCGCACGCCUGUAGUCCCAGCUACUCGGUAGGCUGAGGCAGGAGAAUCACUCGAGCCCAGGAGUUUGAGGCUGCAGUGAGUCGUGAUUGCACCACUGCACUCCAGCCUGGGUGACAGAGUGAGACCCUGUCUCUU